rnacentral:misc_RNA from 1 species
CUGCCAUUGCCCUGAGGGAUCCCCAUUUGGUAGCAUCCAAGAUGGAUAAGAUCGUGUCUGUGUUCAUGAUUUUUCUUGCUCUGUUUUCUAGCUCAGUGGCUAUUUACAGUGAUGCUUAUGCCCUCUUCAGAAAGAAUCCCUCUCCACGCGAGUGAUUUUGUUUGUUUACUAAGAUUCUGAUGUGCAAAGCAAAUAAGCGAUGCUUAGCAGAGAAAAUAAGUUCCCCAAUAAAGGCUGGCUUAACAAGUUGAUGUGCAAGUAUAUAAUGUUAUGUAAUGACUGUCCAUAAGCAUUGCUGUAUUUUGGUUUGAUCUUUUUAUCGAUUGUAAUGCAUCACCCUAAUUCAUAUUUCAUCAGCUUCAGGAUGUUUUAUAUUCAAUCAUUUCUUUUGAAAAAGCAAUCUCGAAAGAAAUGAUUGAAUAUAAAACAUCC